CGUAAUAACAGAAACUAACCAGGAUUCCCUUAGUAACGGCGAGUGAACUGGGAUACCAAUAUAUUUAUGCGUCUCUGGCGCAUAUUUUUAGCCCGUCGAUACUAUCCUAGCGUAUUACCGGUUUCGGCCGGUAGCCCAAUACGCGGGAAUUGUAGCAUCGUAAUAAAAUAUACACCAUGCCUGCGUCGCAAACGUAUAUACACGUAUAUACACGUAUACUCACACACACACAUACUCGUACGCGUACACACCCCUUGCAAACACACAGCGCUCCCGCGUUGGAAAGCAAGUCUAUAUCCUCUUUGGAUAUGCCAUAGAGUGUGACAGCCACGUUUGAAACACCCUUACGUACCGUACACACACAUACGUAAAAAUACGCGCUGCUUCGCAUACGCAUACCGUAUAUAACCUGAGUCGAGUUAUUU
rnacentral:rRNA from 1 species